rnacentral:rRNA from 1 species
UGACGGUACCUGCAAAAGAAGCACCGGCUAACUAUGUGCCAGCAGCCGCGGUAAUACAUAGGGUGCAAGCGUUGUCCGGAAUUAUUGGGCGUAAAGAGCUCGUAGGUCGUUUGCCACGUCGGGUGUGAAAACCUGAGGCUCAACCUCAGGCCUGCAUUCGAUACGAGCAAACUAGAGUUUGGUAGGGGAGACUGGAAUUCCUGGUGUAGCGGUGGAAUGCGCAGAUAUCAGGAGGAGCACCAACGGCGAAGGCAGGUCUCUGGGCCAAUACUGACACUGAGGAGCGAAAGUCUGGGGAGCGAACAGGAUUAGAUACCCUGGUAGUCCAGACCGUAAACGGUGGGCACUAGUUGUGGGAACCUUCCACGGUUUCUGCGACGCAGCUAACGCAUUAAGUGCCCCGCCUGGGGAGUACGAUCGCAAGAUUAAAACUCAAAGGAAUUGACGGGGCCCCGCACAAGCAGCGGAGCAUGCGGCUCAAUUCGACGCAACGCGAAGAACCUUACCAAGGCUUGACAUAUAGGGAAAAGUGGCAGAGAUGCCAUGUCCGCAAGGGCUCUAUACAGGUGGUGCAUGGUUGUCGUCAGC